rnacentral:rRNA from 1 species
AGUGAACGCUGGCGGCGUGCUUAACACAUGCAAGUCGAACGAGAACGGAUUAUAGCUUGCUAUAAUUGUCAGCUAAGUGGCGCACGGGUGAGUAAUGUAUAGGUAAUAUGCCUCUUACUAAGGGAUAACAAAUGGAAACGUUUGCUAAUACCUUAUACUCCUUAUUAACAGAAGUUAAUAAGGGAAAGAUUUAUUGGUAAGAGAUUAGCCUGUAUUGUAUCAGUUAGUUGGUGGGGUAUGGCUUACCAAGACUAUGACACAUAACUGGUUUGAGAGGAUGAUCAGUCACACUGGAACUGAGACACGGUCCAGACUCCUACUGGAGGCAGCAGUGGGGAAUAUUGCACAAUGGACGAAAGUCUGAUGCAGCAACGCCUCGUGGAGGAUGACACAUUUCUGUGCGUAAACUCCUUUUAUAUGAGAAGAGAUUGACGGUAUUAUAUGAAUAAGCACCUGCUAACUCCGUGCCAGCAGCCGCCGUAA